AUGUUUCUCAAUCUCCAUUGCACCCCCUGUCUGACGGGGAGCUGCAGGACUCACCCCACCACUCUACCCAAACGGUGGUCAGGGUGCCGGUGCCGGAGCCCCUUGCGCCGCCUCACUCGUCGCGCCAACAGCUCUUCCCUCCCACCUCGACACCGGAGCGUGGCAGACAAACGGCUCGCCUGGCUCGAGCAGCCCAGGCCUCAGCGUCUAAGGAUCCUCGGCUCCCGGCCCUCUCUUCCCGCGAGGCCAUGCCUCCUCCCGAGACUGUGCUUUCUUCUCCCCCUCAGUCCCCCCAAGGGGCUGAGGAGGAAGAUGUUGAUAUUGACCGCCCAGACUCUGUCCUCUCGGCCUCGGUGGUCUCUCUCGGUCUCGACCUCUCUCCUCCCCACGAUGCGUAUGAGGCAGACCCGCCUUCUCCUACUGACAAUAUUCGUGCUUUCUCUAAUCAAAUGGUCAGAAUGGCCGACGCCCUGGGUUUGGAGAUCAAGCAGACUUCCAAAGGAGUGUCUGAUCCAGUUUUCAAAAGGGUGCAGGCCCAAGCCCCGCCGGCCACGCUACUCCCUUUCCUGCCUUAUCUCUUGGACGUUAUCCAGGCCUCCUGGAAAACCCCUUCCUCCAUUCCUCCGACCUCGAAGAGGAUCGAGACUUGGUACCGUACCGACGAUGAUACCUUGGAGUGGCUCAAACACCACCCUGACCCCAACUCCCUGGUCGUUAAGGCCUCUCAAUCCUCAGGUCGUCAGUCGAACACUCCGGCCAACAGAGAAGGGAAGCGCUUCGACGCCGUGGGUUGAAAACUUUACUCUGGAGCCCUUUUGCUUUGCCGCAUGGCGAACUAUGGAGCCUGCAUGGGUGCCUACCAGCAGAUUAUCUGGGAGAAGGCACAGCCCUUCUUCGCUGAGAUGUCGGACGAAGACCGCUCCGUCCUCACUACCCUCCAACAGGAAGCAGACUCGCUUGCUCACCACCAAAUACAAAUGGCGAAACAUACAGGUGAUACUGCGGGCAAGAUGA
rnacentral:lncRNA from 1 species